GAUCUCGGGAAAAAAAAAAAAAAAGUCUGAUCCUGAUCUCGGAAGCUAAGCAGGGUCGGGCCUGGUUAGUACUUGGAUGGGAGACCGCCUGGGAAUACCAGGUGCUGUAAGCU
rnacentral:rRNA from 1 species